rnacentral:tRNA from 1 species
UGGGAUGUAGCUCAGCUGGUAGAGUGCUUGCUUUGCAUGCACAAGGCCCUGGGCUCAAUCCCCAGUAUCACAC